AGCGAACGCUGGCGGUAGGCCUAACACAUGCAAGUCGAGCGGAUGAAGGGAGCUUGCUCUCUGAUUUAGCGGCGGACGGGUGAGUAAUGCCUAGGAAUCUGCCUGGUAGUGGGGGAUAACGUCCGGAAACGGGCGCUAAUACCGCAUACGUCCUACGGGAGAAAGCAGGGGACCUUCGGGCCUUGCGCUAUCAGAUGAGCCUAGGUCGGAUUAGCUAGUUGGUGAGGUAAUGGCUCACCAAGGCGACGAUCCGUAACUGGUCUGAGAGGAUGAUCAGUCACACUGGAACUGAGACACGGUCCAGACUCCUACGGGAGGCAGCAGUGGGGAAUAUUGGACAAUGGGCGAAAGCCUGAUCCAGCCAUGCCGCGUGUGUGAAGAAGGUCUUCGGAUUGUAAAGCACUUUAAGUUGGGAGGAAGGGCAGUAAGUUAAUACCUUGCUGUUUUGACGUUACCGACAGAAUAAGCACCGGCUAACUUCGUGCCAGCAGCCGCCGUAAAAC
rnacentral:rRNA from 1 species